rnacentral:misc_RNA from 1 species
CUGCCCUCAAGCACGGCUUGUGUGUUGGGCCCCCGCCCCCCGGGAGCCGGGGGGCGGGCCCGAAAGGCAGCGGCGGCACCGCGUCCGGUCCUCGAGCGUAUGGGGCUUCGUCACCCGCUCUGUAGGCCCGGCCGGCGCCCGCCGGCGACCCCCCUCAAUCUUUCCA